ACGUAGGUGUCGAGCGUUGUCCGGAUUUAUUGGGCGUAAAGAGCCCGCAGGCGGCUUGCCAAGUUCGAGGUGAAAUCUCCCGGCUCAACCGGGAGGGGGCCUCGAAAACUGGCAGGCUUGAGGCAGGGAGAGGGAUGUGGAAUUCCCGGUGUAGUGGUGAAAUGCGUAGAUAUCGGGAGGAACACCAGUGGCGAAGGCGGCAUCCUGGCCCAUUUCUGACGCUCAGACGCGAAAGCUAGGGUAGCAAACGG
rnacentral:rRNA from 1 species